GUGUUUUUGAGGAAAUUGCGAUUAAUGUAGCGAAAAUUAUUACUAACGUAUCCUGAGGUGCGGUCCAAUCCAAAGGCCGGUUGCUACACAUCCACCAAUGGCAUUUUCCGGCGAGUUAACGUCACACCAGGAAGUGAACGUUCUCGUCUUGUGUGAACGUGUGAAGUCUUCACGGAGAAACUUUCAGAAGCGAUGUCCCAACAAGAAUCUGCCAGUAGGCUACCACAUUACACCUCAGCAGGCACACCAUAGAAGGACCACUCCUGGAUAAGGAUUUGAGCCACUGUCACGACUGCCAUCUACACUAUAUUACACACGGCAGCAGAUGUGGGAGGUGGUGAUCAACGUGACUCGUGAGCAGGUGGAGGACUUCCACGGCCCCGCGGACUACUGCUUCCUGUGUGUGGCCUGGAGCCACCUGAGGACCUCCAAGAGCUGGCAAGGACACGGUCCGCAUCGCCCAACAUGGACAAACCAGAUCUGCUGCAUCAUCAGCUGCUGUGACGGGCCUUCCAUGGUGUUGCUGUGAUUAUUGCAAGGACAAACAAAAACUGUUUUGUUUGGUUUAUACAAACCAAAACAAUAUGUAAAUAAACUACACAAUUUGUACUGCUAAAUCCUGCAAUUGUAAGUAGUUAUUAAGUAAUGGCUGUGUGCAUUUGUAUUAGUAAAAGCAGCAUAUAAUAAAAAUACAUUACACAUACGUAAAGCCUGUUCUGGCCUUUUCUGUUCAGCAUUUAUGAGAAGUCAAAUGGUAAAGGCAUGUUAAUAUACAGGUCUCAAGCACAAGAAACAUUGGGAUGAUAAUAGUAAGUGUUUAUUUAAAAAAUAAACGAGUUAAAAGUCAACACGACUCAUGACGUAAAUGUAUAUGGGGGUUCUUCUUGUGUUGUUGGUCAACACAUUGCUUCAGGGACUGAAAGCAGUACUAUGUAUUACUUAAGUCAUAUUGGUUGAGACAUCAGGUACGUUUAAUGAAAUGUAAAUGACUGUUAUUAAAAUGGAGGAUAAAGGGCUGGAGCUGGAGCUCGCUGGCAGGUUCCAUCUUCAUGAUCUCCACACACCCAUCUGAAUGAACAAACAUGAAGAAAAUAAACCAGGAAGUUUUAAUCAUGAAGCUGUGGUACCAUGGUGUAUGAAAAUAGCUGGAUAGCUGUUUUGUCUGUGGGAUGUUCAAGCAUAUACAAACACACCACAUUUUAAAAAUGUCAUACAUGCUUUAACAACCGUUGCACAUAAAGGUAAAUCACUCCAAUGUCACUUCAUGUUCUACUUCAGUAAUUAUAGUUGCAAAUAUCUUUGUAGUAGCUGUACAUUGGCAUUUUCUGACAUCGAUUUAGCAGUAGGCCUAGUGUGUGUUGACCUUUCAUAUCUGUUUAGCUACAUACACCACCGUCAGGAUACUGUGUGUGGUGGGCUAGACAUUAAAUACAGGGCACAUCAAGAUUC